rnacentral:rRNA from 1 species
AGUGAACGCUGGCGGUAGGCCUAACGCAUGCAAGUCGAACGGCAGCACAGUAAGAGCUUGCUCUUACGGGUGGCGAGUGGCGGACGGGUGAGGAAUACAUCGGAAUCUACUUUUUCGUGGGGGAUAACGUAGGGAAACUUACGCUAAUACCGCAUACGACCUACGGGUGAAAGCAGGGGAUCUUCGGACCUUGCGCGAUUGAAUGAGCCGAUGUCGGAUUAGCUAGUUGGCGGGGUAAAGGCCCACCAAGGCGACGAUCCGUAGCUGGUCUGAGAGGAUGAUCAGCCACACUGGAACUGAGACACGGUCCAGACUCCUACGGGAGGCAGCAGUGGGGAAUAUUGGACAAUGGGCGCAAGCCUGAUCCAGCCAUACCGCGUGGGUGAAGAAGGCCUUCGGGUUGUAAAGCCCUUUUGUGGGGAAAGAAAAGCAGCAGGUUAAUACCCCGCUGUUCUGACGGUACCCAAAGAAUAAGCACCGGCUAACUUCGUG